GUGAGGAAUUUUCCGCAAUGGGCGAAAGCCUGAUGGAGCAAUGCCGCGUGAAGGAUGAAGGCCUAUGGGUUGUAAACUUCUUUUCUCAGAAAAGAAUUAUGACGGUAUCUGAGGAAUAAGCAUCGGCUAACUCUGUGCCAGCAGCCGCGGUAAGACAGAGGAUGCAAGCGUUAUCCGGAAUGAUUGGGCGUAAAGCGUCUGUAGGUUGUUUAAAAAGUAUUCUGUCAAAGAUUAGGGCUUAACCCUAGAUAGGCAGAAUAAACUUUUAAGCUAGAGUUUGGUAGAGGCAGAGGGAAUUCCCGGUGGAGCGGUGAAAUGCGUAGAUAUCGGGAGGAACACCAAAGGCGAAGGCACUCUGCUGGGCCAAUACUAACACUGAGAGACGAAAGCGAGGGGAGCAAAUGGGAUUAGAUACCCCAGUAGUCC
rnacentral:rRNA from 1 species